GACGAACGCUGGCGGCGUGCUUAACACAUGCAAGUCGAACGAACUCGACCUUCGGGUCAUAUGAGUGAGUGGCGAACGGGUGAGUAACACGUGAGAAACCUGCCCCGAAGUUCGGAAUAACUCAGGGAAACUUGAGCUAAUACCGGAUACCCCCUUCAGGCCGAAUGGUCAGAAGAGGAAAGAUUUAUCGCUUUGGGAGGGUCUCGCGGCUUAUCAGCUAGUUGGUGAGGUAAUGGCUCACCAAGGCAUUGACGAGUAGCUAGUCUGAGAGGACGAAUAGCCACACUGGAACUGAGACACGGUCCAGACUCCUACGGGAGGCAGCAGUGGGGAAUCUUGCACAAUGGGCGAAAGCCUGAUGCAGCGACGCCGCGUGGGGGAUGAAGGCCUUAGGGUCGUAAACCCCUUUCAGUAGGGACGAAAAUGACGGUACCUACAGAAGAAGCCCCGGCCAACUACG
rnacentral:rRNA from 1 species